AUGAACGCUAGCUACAGGCUUAACACAUGCAAGUCGAGGGGCAGCAUGGUCUUAGCUUGCUAAGGCCGAUGGCGACCGGCGCACGGGUGAGUAACACGUAUCCAACCUGCCGUCUACUCUUGGACAGCCUUCUGAAAGGAAGAUUAAUACAAGAUGGCAUCAUGAGUCCGCAUGUUCACAUGAUUAAAGGUAUUCCGGUAGACGAUGGGGAUGCGUUCCAUUAGAUAGUAGGCGGGGUAACGGCCCACCUAGUCUUCGAUGGAUAGGGGUUCUGAGAGGAAGGUCCCCCACAUUGGAACUGAGACACGGUCCAAACUCCUACGGGAGGCAGCAGUGAGGAAUAUUGGUCAAUGGGCGAGAGCCUGAACCAGCCAAGUAGCGUGAAGGAUGACUGCCCUAUGGGUUGUAAACUUCUUUUAUAAAGGAAUAAAGUCGGGUAUGGAUACCCGUUUGCAUGUACUUUAUGAAUAAGGAUCGGCUAACUCCGUGCCAGCAGCCGCGGUAAUACGGAGGAUCCGAGCGUUAUCCGGAUUUAUUGGGUUUAAAGGGAGCGUAGAUGGAUGUUUAAGUCAGUUGUGAAAGUUUGCGGCUCAACCGUAAAAUUGCAGUUGAUACUGGAUAUCUUGAGUGCAGUUGAGGCAGGCGGAAUUCGUGGUGUAGCGGUGAAAUGCUUAGAUAUCACGAAGAACUCCGAUUGCGAAGGCAGCCUGCUAAGCUGCAACUGACAUUGAGGCUCGAAAGUGUGGGUAUCAAACAGGAUUAGAUACCCUGGUAGUCCACACGGUAAACGAUGAAUACUCGCUGUUUGCGAUAUACAGCAAGCGGCCAAGCGAAAGCGUUAAGUAUUCCACCUGGGGAGUACGCCGGCAACGGUGAAACUCAAAGGAAUUGACGGGGGCCCGCACAAGCGGAGGAACAUGUGGUUUAAUUCGAUGAUACGCGAGGAACCUUACCCGGGCUUAAAUUGCAGAUGAAUUACGGUGAAAGCCGUAAGCCGCAAGGCAUCUGUGAAGGUGCUGCAUGGUUGUCGUCAGCUCGUGCCGUGAGGUGUCGGCUUAAGUGCCAUAACGAGCGCAACCCUUGUUGUCAGUUACUAACAGGUCAUGCUGAGGACUCUGACAAGACUGCCAUCGUAAGAUGUGAGGAAGGUGGGGAUGACGUCAAAUCAGCACGGCCCUUACGUCCGGGGCUACACACGUGUUACAAUGGGGGGUACAGAGGGCCGCUACCACGCGAGUGGAUGCCAAUCCCAAAAACCUCUCUCAGUUCGGACUGGAGUCUGCAACCCGACUCCACGAAGCUGGAUUCGCUAGUAAUCGCGCAUCAGCCACGGCGCGGUGAAUACGUUCCCGGGCCUUGUACACACCGCCCGUCAAGCCAUGGGAGCCGGGGGUACCUGAAGUGCGUAACCGCGAGGAGCGCCCUAGGGUAAAACUGGUGACUGGGGCUAAG
rnacentral:rRNA from 1 species